UACGUAGGGUGCAAGCGUUAUCCGGAAUUAUUGGGCGUAAAGAGCUCGUAGGCGGUUUGUCGCGUCUGCUGUGAAAACUGGAGGCUCAACCUCCAGCCUGCAGUGGGUACGGGCAAACUAGAGUGCGGUAGGGGAGAUUGGAAUUCCUGGUGUAGCGGUGGAAUGCGCAGAUAUCAGGAGGAACACCGAUGGCGAAGGCAGAUCUCUGGGCCGUAACUGACGCUGAGGAGCGAAAGCAUGGGGAGCGAACAG
rnacentral:rRNA from 1 species